rnacentral:misc_RNA from 1 species
GUGGUGGGUCAACAACAUCUGCGACAUCCAGGACUGGAUUAGGGGCAGCUGCUGGUCCUAGAAAAUUCGAAGGAGCGGCAUCACUUAGAAAUGGUAGCAUAGGUACUAUGUACGUAUUGAAGUUGGCAUCUGAACAUUUACUUCUGAAAUAUCUGGUUGCAGUUGCUGGGUACUCGGUCACGAUCCCAUCAAGGUUGGAGUCAGAAGAAGAACCUCCAGCAAAACUAGCAAUUUCUACAGU